CACUCGGUCCGGAGUCAAUGGGUUAUCAUUCUCAACCUUCCCAUUGGCACCAACUUGCACCGUUGU
rfam:Caenorhabditis briggsae complete genome, chrIII